UGCCAGCAGCCGCGUAAUACGGAGGGUGCAAGCGUUGCUCGGAAUCACUGGGCGUAAAGCGGACGCAGGCGGAACGUUAAGUUGGAUGUGAAAGCCCCGGGCUCAACCCGGGAACUGCAUUCAAAACUGGCGUUCUUGAGUUCAAGAGAGGGUGGUGGGAUUCCUGGUGUAGAGGUGAAAUUCGUUGAUAUCAGGAGGAACACCGGCGGCGAAGGCGGCCACCUGGCUUGAUACUGACGCUGAGGUGGGAAAGCGUGGGGAGCAAACAGGAUUUGAUA
rnacentral:rRNA from 1 species